AUAGUCCCCUUAGCUACCUCUCUGUCUGGUGAUGUCAUAAAGGAAGGAGCUUCCUUCCUAUUAGACAUCCUAGUGUACAGUCACAAUUCUUCACAGAAUCCCAAAGAAGUACCUGAAAGGAAUCUGUGGAUUUAUCUUUGGAGUUAUAUCACCAAGCCUUUGGCAAGUUUUUAACAAAACUAGGAUUUCCUUGUAUAUAGAGAAGGCUCCAGACCCUCCUUUAUUCUCCCAAGAUUCUAGAAAUUCUCAGGACUCAUCCAGAGAAGGAAUCAGCCAGAAGAUCCUAUGAAGACAAGGUCAAACCAAACACGCUGUGUUAGCCCAUUUUAAUAAGAAAUCUGACUGAAAACAAAUGGUUGAAUGUGCUGCUAACAGAGAGGGCCAAACGAUGAUGUCUAUUGUGGCAGCUGAACAAAGUGGGACUUACAGAACUGGAAUUGCUGCCCUGAUAGCAACUGAAGCAGAAAGAGAAGAAAGGAGCUUACAACCAGGACACACAAACUCAGGCCAGGAGUCCAUCUAUGAUCCAAUUCCAGUCAGUCUGCCAAGUCACUCUGAUCCAGCACGAUUAUCCUAUGCACAUGUUUUUUAAAGAACAAAAAAGGAA